rnacentral:tRNA from 1 species
AAAUAAGAAGUAAAAUUUACAUUUAGUUUCGACCUAAAAAUUUGGCAAUUAUAUGCCCUUAUUUA